rnacentral:rRNA from 1 species
AACGAACGCUGGCGGCAGGCUUAACACAUGCAAGUCGAGCGCCCCGCAAGGGGAGCGGCAGACGGGUGAGUAACGCGUGGGAACGUACCCUUUGCUACGGAAUAGCCCCGGGAAACUGGAAUUAAUACCGUAUGAGCCCUACGGGGGAAAGAUUUAUCGGCAAAGGAUCGGCCCGCGUUGGAUUAGCUAGUUGGGGGGGUAAUGGCCUACCAAGGCGACGAUCCAUAGCUGGUCUGAGAGGAUGAUCAGCCACAUUGGGACUGAGACACGGCCCAAACUCCUACGGGAGGCAGCAGUGGGGAAUAUUGGACAAUGGGCGCAAGCCUGAUCCAGCCAUGCCGCGUGAGUGAUGAAGGCCUUAGGGUUGUAAAGCUCUUUCACCGGAGAAGAUAAUGACAGUAUCCGGAGAAGAAGCCCCGGCUAACUUCGUGCCAGCCGCCGCUGUAACAC